CCCUAGCUCUCUAUGUAUGUGUGUACUGAACUGAGGACUUCUUACAUUUAUGUAAUGUGCUUUCCCUGAUCUUCUUUCUACCUAGUGCCAGAGUUAGCCAUGGAAGCAAGGCUAACAGAGCCCAGACAGCAGCCUGCACCAUGCAGAACUGCACCGGCAGUUCCUGCCUUAAGAUUUGUCCUUAUUUGAUGGGGAUGAGCACCUAAUUGGACCAUGGCUGGAUGGAUUUUCCGUUGUUUGCAGCUGACAGCUUGCCUGGAUGUCGGUCUGCGGUGUUAAAUUCGAUUUAAGAAAUGUCAGCUCUGAAGUCCUCAGUGGAGACUCUUAAAUAUGUCCCGUGACCACUGUGAUAACAUUGGCACCCAGAAGAGAUGGAGCACACCCCUGGGAGCUGUAGGGACUUGAGCACGCGGUCUGCUUUGGAGACAAGCAGAGCUGUCAGCAUCCCUCAUGGGCUGCCUCUGAGGUCACUCUAUGGUGAGCAUUGCUUUCUAAAGGCAGAGCAGAGGUCAGAGGUCAGUUCUCUGGAAAGGUGAAGAAAUGUCAGAAGGUCAUCGUUCUCCUCACCAGAGAGAUUCGUGGAUUACAUGCUCAGCACUGUGCAGAAGGUGACAGGUGGUCAGGUGUGACUUCUGUCACCGGGAGCCAGCCGUCCACAAAGGAAAUGGCCUAAUCGUAUGCGCUAUGAUGGAGGGAGAGCACAGGACUCUGCUGUGCCUGCAUGCGCUCUCUCAAAAAAGAUAUAUAAAGUGGGUGACUUCUGAAGUUGUCCCAUCCCUGAUGCUAGGAAACCCUCUAUGUCCUUUAAAAUGCUGUGCUGCAAAGCCCAACAACAGGGAAACCAACAACAUCAUUAAAACUCGGGAAAAGCCAGCUGUGGUGGAGCACACUUAUGUCCCAGCACUUGGGGAGGAAGAAGCAUAAAGUUCACCUAGGAUUCAGGGUGAACCAGGGCUUCGUAGUGAGACCCUGUCUCAAAAACAAAACAAACCC
rnacentral:lncRNA from 1 species